UGAGGAAUAUUGGUCAAUGGACGGAAGUCUGAACCAGCCAUGCCGCGUGCAGGAAGACUGCCCUAUGGGUUGUAAACUGCUUUUAUAUAGGAAUAAACCCCUCAACGAGUUGAGGGCUGAAUGUACUAUAAGAAUAAGCACCGGCUAACUCCGUGCCAGCAGCCGCGGUAAUACGGAGGGUGCAAGCGUUAUCCGGAUUUAUUGGGUUUAAAGGGUCCGCAGGCGGGAGAAUAAGUCAGUGGUGAAAUCCUAUCGCUUAACGAUAGAACUGCCAUUGAUACUGUUUUUCUUGAGUGUAGUUGAAGUUGGCGGAAUGUGUCAUGUAGCGGUGAAAUGCAUAGAUAUGACACAGAACACCGAUUGCGAAGGCAGCUAACUAAACUAUAACUGACGCUCAUGGACGAAAGCGUGGGGAGCGAACAG
rnacentral:rRNA from 1 species